GAGUUUGAUCGUGGCUCAGGAUGAACGCUGGCGGCGUGCCUAAUACAUGCAAGUCGAGCGAACGGACGAGAAGCUUGCUUCUCUGAUGUUAGCGGCGGACGGGUGAGUAACACGUGGAUAACCUACCUAUAAGACUGGGAUAACUUCGGGAAACCGGAGCUAAUACCGGAUAAUAUUUUGAACCGCAUGGUUCAAAAGUGAAAGACGGUCUUGCUGUCACUUAUAGAUGGAUCCGCGCUGCAUUAGCUAGUUGGUAAGGUAACGGCUUACCAAGGCAACGAUGCAUAGCCGACCUGAGAGGGUGAUCGGCCACACUGGAACUGAGACACGGUCCAGACUCCUACGGGAGGCAGCAGUAGGGAAUCUUCCGCAAUGGGCGAAAAGCCUGACGGAGCAACGCCGCGUGAGUGAUGAAGGUCUUCGGAUCGUAAAACUCUGUUAUUAGGGAAGAACAUAUGUGUAAGUAACUGUGCACAUCUUGACGGUACCUAAUCAGAAAGCC
rnacentral:rRNA from 1 species